rnacentral:rRNA from 1 species
GAUGAACGCUGGCGGCGUGCCUAAUACAUGCAAGUCGAGCGAACAGACGAGGAGCUUGCUCCUUCGACGUUAGCGGCGGACGGGUGAGUAACACGUAGGUAACCUACCUAUAAGACUGGGAUAACUUCGGGAAACCGGAGCUAAUACCGGAUAAUAUUUCGAACCGCAUGGUUCGAUAGUGAAAGAUGGCUUUGCUAUCACUUAUAGAUGGACCUGCGCCGUAUUAGCUAGUUGGUAAGGUAACGGCUUACCAAGGCAACGAUACGUAGCCGACCUGAGAGGGUGAUCGGCCACACUGGAACUGAGACACGGUCCAGACUCCUACGGGAGGCAGCAGUAGGGAAUCUUCCGCAAUGGGCGAAAGCCUGACAGAGCAACGCCGCGUGAGUGAUGAAGGUCUUCGGAUCGUAAAACUCUGUUAUUAGGGAAGAACAAACGUGUAAGUAACUGUGCACGUCUUGACGGUACCUAAUCAGAAAGCCACGGCUAACUACGUG